rnacentral:lncRNA from 1 species
AUAGAUGUAAGCUGAGCGUUGGUCACACAAAAGGGUCAUAUAUGAUCUCCACUCCGGGAGGGAAAAUAGCUUCAGACAAGAUAGUUAACCUUGUGCCUAUCCAGUUAGGCUAGAUUCUUUUUAGGGAAAAUCUCAUCAUCCUUGAUCUAGAAGGGAUAGAUAUCAUCUUGGGAAUGGAUUGGAUGACCCGACACCAGGUGGUUCUAGACGUAUCUGCCCGAGCUAUACACAUAAACUCACCUUUGCAUGGCAACUCUACCCUACACUUGACCC